CCUACGGGUGGCAGCAGUGAGGAAUAUUGGUCAAUGGACGAGAGUCUGAACCAGCCAUGCAGCGUGAAGGAUGACUGCCCUAUGGGUUGUAAACUUCUUUUAUAAAGGAAUAAACCGAGGCACGUGUACCUUUUUGCAAGUACUUUAUGAAUAAGGAUCGGCUAACUCCGUGCCAGCAGCCGCGGUAAUACGGAGGAUCCGAGCGUUAUCCGGAUUUAUUGGGUUUAAAGGGAGCGUAGGUGGGUUGUUAAGUCAGUUGUGAAAGGUUGCGGCUCAACCGUGAAAUUGCAAUUGAUACUGGCAGUCUUGAGUACAGUUGAGGUAGGCGGAAUUCGUGGUGUAGCGGUGAAAUGCUUAGAGAUCACGCAGAACCCCGAUUGCGAAGGCAGCUUACUAAACUGUAACUGACAUUGAUGCUCGAAAGUGUGGGUAGCAAACAGGAUUAGAUACCCGUGUAGUC
rnacentral:rRNA from 1 species